rnacentral:rRNA from 1 species
CCCUUAGAUGUUCUGGGCAGCACGCGCGCUACAAUGGUCUUCGCAAACGGAUGCAUUCUCGAAGGAGAAUGCCAAUCUUGGAAUCUAUGCCUUGGUCGGGACAGUUGCUUGCAAUUUUUCGACUCGAACCAGGAAUUCCUUGUAAUCGUGAUUCAUCACAUCACGAUGAAUACGUCCCUGCCCUUUGUACACACCGCCCGUCGCUCCUACCGAUCGAAGAGUUAGGUGAAUUGUUUUGAUCAAUAAGAUUUGACUAUGGUCAACUCUCGUUGUGAAAUUCUGUGAAUCUGACUGUUUAGAGGAAGGAAAAGUCGUAACA